UACGUAGGGUGCAAGCGUUGUCCGGAAUUAUUGGGCGUAAAGAGCUCGUAGGCGGUCUGUCGCGUCGGCUGUGAAAUCCCGAGGCUCAACCUCGGGUCUGCAGUCGAUACGGGCAAACUAGAGUAUUGCAGGGGAGACUGGAAUUCCUGGUGUAGCGGUGAAAUGCGCAGAUAUCAGGAGGAACACCGGUGGCGAAGGCGGGUCUCUGGGCAAUAACUGACGCUGAGGCACGAAAGCUAGGGGAGCAAACAGG
rnacentral:rRNA from 1 species